rnacentral:rRNA from 1 species
AUUGAACGCUGGCGGCAGGCCUAACACAUGCAAGUCGAACGAGUGGCGGACGGGUGAGUAAUGUCUGGGAAACUGCCCGAUGGAGGGGGAUAACUACUGGAAACGGUAGCUAAUACCGCAUACCAUCGGAUGUGCCCAGAUGGGAUUAGCUAGUAGGUGUGGUAAUGGCUCACCUAGGCGACGAUCCCUAUCUGGUCUGAGAGGAGGACCAGCCACAGUGGAACUGAGAAACGGGCCAGACUCCGACGGGAGGCAGCAUGGGGGAAUAUUGCACAAUGGGCGCAAGCCUGAUGGAGCCAUGCCGCGUGUAUGAAGAAGGCCUUCGGGUGGGAAAGCACUUUUAGCGAGGAGGCGUUACUCGCAGAAGAAGCCACGGCUAACUCCGUGCCAGCAGCCGCGGUAAUAC